CUCGGCUAAAAAAGAAAAAUUGAUGCUACCUUGCCCCUGUUUUCUGCAGGCCUAAGUGUUCUUGUGUGUGAUAGUAACAGACUCUAAGAAGAACAAAAAUACAACUCUUAAUACUCUACAGUGUCAAUUCCGAACCUAUUGAAAUUCUACCACUGCCUUUGCUGGUGCACCUGUUUUCAGUAUCAUUUCAUCAUACUCAUCUUCAGGAUUUGACAACGCAACAAUGGCUCCACCUGCUCCUAUAGAAGCUUCACCUUCAUG
rnacentral:misc_RNA from 1 species